UACGAAGGGGGCUAGCGUUGCUCGGAAUUACUGGGCGUAAAGCGCACGUAGGCGGGUCGUUAAGUCAGGGGUGAAAUCCCGGAGCUCAACUCCGGAACUGCCUUUGAUACUGGCGACCUUGAGGCUGGAAGAGGUUAGUGGAAUUCCCAGUGUAGAGGUGAAAUUCGUAGAUAUUGGGAAGAACACCAGUGGCGAAGGCGGCUAACUGGUCCAGAUCUGACGCUGAGGUGCGAAAGCGUGGGGAGCAAAACAGG
rnacentral:rRNA from 1 species